UACAGAGGGGGCAAGCGUUGUUCGGAAUUACUGGGCGUAAAGGGCGCGUAGGCGGCCUGCUAAGUCGCACGUGAAAUCCCCGGGCUCAACCCGGGAACUGCGUCCGAUACUGGUUGGCUUGAAUCCGGGAGAGGGAUGCGGAAUUCCAGGUGUAGCGGUGAAAUGCGUAGAUAUCUGGAGGAACACCGGUGGCGAAGGCGGCAUCCUGGACCGGCAUUGACGCUGAGGCGCGAAAGCCAGGGGAGCAAACGGG
rnacentral:rRNA from 1 species